rnacentral:rRNA from 1 species
UGGGGAAUUUUGCACAAUGGGGGAAACCCUGAUGCAGCGACGCCGCGUGAAUGAUGAAGGCCUUCGGGUUGUAAAGUUCUGUCCUUGGUGAAGAUAAUGACUGUAACCAGGAAGCAAGCCCUGGCUAAAUACGUGCCAGCAGCCGCGGUAAUACGUAUGGGGCAAGCGUUGUCCGGAAUUAUUGGGCGUAAAGGGUACGUAGGCGGUUUACUAAGUCUGAAUUAAAAGGCAGUGGCUCAACCAUUGUAAGGUUUAGAUACUGGUAAACUUGAGUAGAUGAGGGGAAAGUGGAAUUCCAUGUGUAGCGGUGAAAUGCGUAGAUAUAUGGAGGAACACCUGUGGCGAAGGCGACUUUCUGGAAUCUAACUGACGCUGAGGUACGAAGGCGUGGGGAGCAAACAGGAUUAGAUACCCUGGUAGUCCACGCAGUAAACGAUGAGUGCUAGUUGUCGGGGGUCAAACCUCGGUGACGCAGCUAACGCAUUAAGCACUCCGCCUGGGGAGUACGUACGCAAGUAUG